GACGAACGCUGGCGGCGUGCCUAAUACAUGCAAGUUGAGCGCUGAAGGUUGGUACUUGUACCGACUGGAUGAGCAGCGAACGGGUGAGUAACGCGUGGGGAAUCUGCCUUUGAGCGGGGGACAACAUUUGGAAACGAAUGCUAAUACCGCAUAAAAACUUUAAACACAAGUUUUAAGUUUGAAAGAUGCAAUUGCAUCACUCAAAGAUGAUCCCGCGUUGUAUUAGCUAGUUGGUGAGGUAAAGGCUCACCAAGGCGAUGAUACAUAGCCGACCUGAGAGGGUGAUCGGCCACAUUGGGACUGAGACACGGCCCAAACUCCUACGGGAGGCAGCAGUAGGGAAGCUUCGGCAAUGGACGAAAGUCUGACCGAGCAACGCCGCGUGAGUGAAGAAGGUUUUCGGAUCGUAAAACUCUGUUGGUAGAGAAGAACGUUGGUGAGAGUGGAAAGCUCAUCAAGUGACGGUAACUACCCAGAAAGGGACGGCUAACUACGUG
rnacentral:rRNA from 1 species